AUUGAACGCUGGCGGCAGGCCUAACACAUGCAAGUCGAACGGCAGCACAGAAGAGCUUGCUCUUUGGGUGGCGAGUGGCGGACGGGUGAGUAAUGUCUGGGAAACUGCCCGAUGGAGGGGGAUAACUACUGGAAACGGUAGCUAAUACCGCAUAACGUCGCGAGACCAAAGUGGGGGACCUUCGGGCCUCACACCAUCGGAUGUGGCCAGAUGGGAUUAGCUAGUAGGUGGGGUAAUGGCUCACCUAGGCGACGAUCCCUAGCUGGUCUGAGAGGAUGACCAGCCACACUGGAACUGAGACACGGUCCAGACUCCUACGGGAGGCAGCAGUGGGGAAUAUUGCACAAUGGGCGCAAGCCUGAUGCAGCCAUGCCGCGUGUAUGAAGAAGGCCUUCGGGUUGUAAAGUACUUUCAGCGGGGAGGAAGGCGGUGAGGUUAAUAACCUUGCUGAUUGACGUUACCCGCAGAAGAAGCACCGGCUAACUCCGUGCCAGCCGCCGCUGUAA
rnacentral:rRNA from 1 species